rnacentral:rRNA from 1 species
GGAUCUCUUAAAGCUGUUCUCAGUUCGGACUGCAGUCUGCAACUCGACUGCACGAAGCUGGAAUCGCUAGUAAUCGCGGAUCAGCACGCCGCGGUGAAUACGUUCCCGGGCCUUGUACACACCGCCCGUCACACCAUGGAAGUCUGCAAUGCCCGAAGCCGGCGGCCUAACCACUUAUGUGGAAGGAGCCGUCUAAGGCAGGGCAGAUGACUGGGGUGAAGUCGUAACAAGGUACC